UCCGAUAGAGACCGGCGCACGGGUGCGUAACGCGUAUGCAACCUACCUUUGGUCAGGGGGAUAGCCCGGAGAAAUCCGGAUUAACACCGCAUGAAGACACAGUCCUGCAUGGGGCAAUGUCCAAACAUUUAUGGGACCAAGAUGGGCAUGCGUGCCAUUAGCUAGUUGGCGGGGUAACGGCCCACCAAGGCGACGAUGGCUAGGGGAUCUGAGAGGAUGGCCCCCCACACUGGUACUGAGACACGGACCAGACUCCUACGGGAGGCAGCAGUAAGGAAUAUUGGUCAAUGGGCGCAAGCCUGAACCAGCCAUGCCGCGUGCAGGAAGACGGCCCUCCGGGUUGUAAACUGCUUUUAUACCGGAAUAAACCUCCCUACGUGUAGGGAGCUGAAUGUACGGUAGGAAUAAGGAUCGGCUAACUCCGUGCCAGCAGCCGCGGUAAUACGGAGGAUCCGAGCGUUAUCCGGAUUUAUUGGGUUUAAAGGGUGCGUAGGCGGCCUGUUAAGUCAGGGGUGAAAGACGGUGGCUCAACCAUCGCAGUGCCCUUGAUACUGACGGGCUUGAAUCAACUAGAGGCAGGCGGAAUGUGACAAGUAGCGGUGAAAUGCAUAGAUAUGUCACAGAACACCGAUUGCGAAGGCAGCUUGCUAUGGUUGUAUUGACGCUGAGGCACGAAAGCGUGGGGAUCAAACAGGAUUAGAUACCCUGGUAGUCCACGCCCUAAACGAUGAACACUCGCUGUUGGCGAUACACGGUCAGCGGCUAAGCGAAAGCGUUAAGU
rnacentral:rRNA from 1 species